AGAGUUUGAUCAUGGCUCAGAUUGAACGCUGGCGGCAGGCCUAACACAUGCAAGUCGAGCGGUAGCACAGAGAGCUUGCUCUCGGGUGACGAGCGGCGGACGGGUGAGUAAUGUCUGGGAAACUGCCUGAUGGAGGGGGAUAACUACUGGAAACGGUAGCUAAUACCGCAUAAUGUCGCAAGACCAAAGUGGGGGACCUUCGGGCCUCAUGCCAUCAGAUGUGCCCAGAUGGGAUUAGCUAGUAGGUGGGGUAAUGGCUCACCUAGGCGACGAUCCCUAGCUGGUCUGAGAGGAUGACCAGCCACACUGGAACUGAGACACGGUCCAGACUCCUACGGGAGGCAGCAGUGGGGAAUAUUGCACAAUGGGCGCAAGCCUGAUGCAGCCAUGCCGCGUGUGUGAAGAAGGCCUUCGGGUUGUAAAGCACUUUCAGCGGGGAGGAAGGCGAUAAGGUUAAUAACCUCAUCGAUUGACGUUACCCGCAGAAGAAGCACCGGCUAACUCCGUGCCAGCAGCCGCGGUAAUACGGAGGGUGCAAGCGUUAAUCGGAAUUACUGGGCGUAAAGCGCACGCAGGCGGUCUGUCAAGUCGGAUGUGAAAUCCCCGGGCUCAACCUGGGAACUGCAUUCGAAACUGGCAGGCUAGAGUCUUGUAGAGGGGGGUAGAAUUCCAGGUGUAGCGGUGAAAUGCGUAGAGAUCUGGAGGAAUACCGGUGGCGAAGGCGGCCCCCUGGACAAAGACUGACGCUCAGGUGCGAAAGCGUGGGGAGCAAACAGGAUUAGAUACCCUGGUAGUCCACGCCGUAAACGAUGUCGAUUUGGAGGUUGUGCCCUUGAGGCGUGGCUUCCGGAGCUAACGCGUUAAAUCGACCGCCUGGGGAGUACGGCCGCAAGGUUAAAACUCAAAUGAAUUGACGGGGGCCCGCACAAGCGGUGGAGCAUGUGGUUUAAUUCGAUGCAACGCGAAGAACCUUACCUGGUCUUGACAUCCACAGAACUUUCCAGAGAUGGAUUGGUGCCUUCGGGAACUGUGAGACAGGUGCUGCAUGGCUGUCGUCAGCUCGUGUUGUGAAAUGUUGGGUUAAGUCCCGCAACGAGCGCAACCCUUAUCCUUUGUUGCCAGCGGU
rnacentral:rRNA from 1 species